rnacentral:rRNA from 1 species
CCCUUAGAUGUCCUGGGCCGCACGCGCGCUACACUGACGGAGGCAGCGAGCUUACCCCUUUGCCGAAAGGCAUGGGAAAUCUUUUGAAUCUCCGUCGUGCUGGGGAUAGAUCAUUGCAAUUAUUGAUCUUGAACGAGGAAUUCCUAGUAAGCGCAAGUCAUCAACUUGCGUUGAUUACGUCCCUGCCCUUUGUACACACCGCCCGUCGCUCCUACCGAUUGAAUGUUCCGGUGAGCUCUUCGGACUGCGCGGUCUGCAGUUUCUGCGUUCCGUGCGGAAAGUUGCGCAAACCUUAACAUUUAGAGGAAGGAGAAGUCGUAACA